GUAGGUCAGGGGUCGGCCCCCGCGCGGUCUGCGAAUCCGCCGGCUCAGCCUUCCCAGGUUCGAAUCCUGGCGCCG
rnacentral:tRNA from 1 species